rnacentral:lncRNA from 1 species
GUGGGGACCACACUGCAUGGAAUACUCAUUGCAGGAGAGCCUCCUCAACGUUGAGAAUAAAUGUUGCUGGCUGGGAAAAAAAGAAUUGAAAGAAAGCAGAAUUGAAAGCCUGGAUCUGUCAAAAGCUACUUACUCUUCAGGGAAAAGAUGGAGUCACAUCCAGGAGGUUGUAUUCUGAGCCAUUCUUUUUAGUUGGAAAAACCAAUUCAGAGUUAAUUGAAGUACUUAAAGAAUGUUAGGGGGGGUGUGUGUGUUGUGUGUGUGUGUGUGGUGUGUGUUUUGUCC